UGGGGAAUAUUGCACAAUGGAGGGAACUCUGAUGCAGCGACGCCGCGUGAGUGAUGAAGGACUUCGUUUCGUAAAACUCUGUUCUAUGGGAAGAAAAGGACUGUACCAUAGGAGAAAGCUCAGGCUAAAUACGUGCCAGCAGCCGCGGUAAUACGUAUGGAGCGAGCGUUGUCCGGAAUUAUUGGGCGUAAAGGGUGCGCAGGCGGCUUUACAAGUUGGAUGUGAAAUAUUGUGGCUCAACCACAAACGUGCAUCCAAAACUGCAAAGCUUGAGUUAAGGAGAGGUAAGUGGAAUUCCUGGUGUAGCGGUGGAAUGCGUAGAUAUCAGGAGGAAUACCGGUGGCGAAGGCGACUUACUAGACUUAAACAGACGCUCAGGCACGAAAGCGUGGGGAGCAAACAGG
rnacentral:rRNA from 1 species